rnacentral:sRNA from 1 species
AUUUAUAUCAUGUUAAGAGGCAGUGUACAAUCGCUAAAAAAGGAACAUUACAAACUUUUAGAUGUGAAUUCGGCCCAAGCAUCUGUUGUCCAGUGGUAGGAGAAGAUUUGGGGAAGGGUGAAACUUUCAGAUCCGAGUUCGAUCCUCCCUGAAAACAAAAAUCACAUUUGUUUGGGAAGUCUGUUAAUUGGUCCUUGGCCCAAUUGGUUAAUCUGGUAGUCAGAAAUGCAGGCGGCCUGACUACCCUCUGGCAUUAGUCGGAAAGCAUUCCAAACUGGGGACAAACAGUGUGGUGGUCCUUCGGAAAGAAGUCCUAUCUGAAGUACUUCGGUGCGUUUUCUACCGAAACUAACCGGAAAAAAAAA